UUGCUGAGGCAGCAAGUAGAGUAAUAUUAGAAUGAUACAGAGAAGAUUAGCAUGGCUCUUGUGCAAAGACAGCAUGCACAUUAGUGAAACAUUCCAUUUAAAA